GCCAGGGAGGUGCAGUGGUUUGAGUACUGGAUUACGACUCUGGCUGUCAGGGUUUGAUUCCCUGCUUGGCC